rnacentral:rRNA from 1 species
AGUGAACGCUGGCGGUAGGCCUAACACAUGCAAGUCGAACGGCAGCACAGGAGAGCUUGCUCUCUGGGUGGCGAGUGGCGGACCGGUGAGGACUACACCGGAAUCUACUUUUUCGUGGGGGCUAACGUAGGCAAACUUACGCUAAUACCGCAUACAACCUACGGGCUAAAGCAGGGGCACUUCGGACCUUGCGCGAGUGAAUGAGCCGAUGUCGGAUUAGCUAGUUGGCGGGGUAAAGGUCCACCAAGGCGACGAUCCGUAGCUGGUCUGAGAGGAUGAUCAGCCACGCUGGAACUGAGACACGGUCCAGACUCCUACGGGAGGCAGCAGUGGGGAAUAUUGGACAAUGGGCGCAAGCCUGAUCCAGCCAUACCGCGUGGGUGAAGAAGGCCUUCGGGUUGUAAAGCCCUUUUGUUGGGAAAGAAAUCCAGCUGGUUAAUACCCGGUUGGGAUGACGGUACCCAAAGAAUAAGCACCGGCUAACUUCGUGCCAGCCGCCGCCGUAA